AGAGUUUGAUCAUGGCUCAGGACGAACGCUGGCGGCGCGCCUAACACAUGCAAGUCGAACGAGAGAUGAGGAGCUUGCUUUUCAAAUCGAGUGGCGAACGGGUGAGUAACGCGUGAGGAACCUGCCUCAAAGAGGGGGACAACGAGUUGGAAACGACUGCUAAUACCGCAUAAGCCCACGGCUCGGCAUCGAAGCGAGGGGAAAAGGAGUGAUCCGCUUUGAGAUGGCCUCGCGUCCGAUUAGCUAGUUGGUGAGGUAAUGGCCCACCAAGGCGACGAUCGGUAGCCGGACUGGAGAGGUUGAACGGCCACAUUGGGACUGAGACACGGCCCAGACUCCUACGGGAGCA
rnacentral:rRNA from 1 species